rnacentral:lncRNA from 1 species
ACCGCACUCUUCGAGUCAAGAUAGGAGAUCGAUUCUCGCCACUUCAUUACAUCACACAUGGCCUUCCGCAAGGCUCAGUGUUGUCCCCUGUACUGUUUAACAUAGCCAUGCACCGUCUCCCGUAUCACCUCGCAAAGAUAGACAGGUUGCAUCACUCAAUAUAAGCAGACGACAUCACAGUAUGGACCAUGGGAGGGUCACUUGGUGAGCAGCAAGAUGCCAUCCAAGCAGCUCUAGAUACAAUACAGCAUAGCGCGCCAACUA